UACGUGGGGGGCUAGCGUUGUCCGGAUUUAUUGGGCGUAAAGAGCGUGUAGGCGGCCAGAUAGGUCUGCUGUGAAAACUCGAGGCUUAACCUCGAGAUGUCGGCGGAAACCAUCUGGCUAGAGUCCGGAAGAGGAGAGCGGAAUUCCUGGUGUAGCGGUGAAAUGCGCAGAUAUCAGGAGGAACACCCGUGGCGAAGGCGGCUCUCUGGGCCUUCACUGACGCUGAGGAGCGAAAGCGUGGGGAGCGAACAGG
rnacentral:rRNA from 1 species